AUCAUUUUAUUAUUCAUUCACUUUAACCUGUUUCAGACUGCAAGCAUAUGAACAGUAUCAUCAUCAGGUCUAUUACUUCCAUCGAUCAAAGUAUUUGUAAUCUGUUGAUUUCAAAUCUUGUACUUCAAUUUUUUAACAUGCAUUUUACUGUAUAAAGGACCAGCUUACCCAAAGCCUGUCAUUA